UACGAGGGGAGCAAGCGUUGUUCGGAUUUACUGGGCGUAAAGGGCGCGUAGGCGGCGUGACUAGUCACUUGUGAAAUCUCCGGGCUUAACUCGGAACGGUCAAGUGAUACUGUCGUGCUAGAGUACAGAAGGGGCAACUGGAAUUCUCGGUGUAGCGGUGAAAUGCGUAGAUAUCGAGAGGAACACCUGCGGCGAAGGCGGGUUGCUGGGCUGUAACUGACGCUGAGGAACGAAAGCUAGGGGAGCAAAUGGG
rnacentral:rRNA from 1 species